rnacentral:lncRNA from 1 species
CGGGAGCCUGAUGGCAGAGAGCUGCUUUUUCCUCGGGUGGUUUUCCUUUUAUUAUUAUUAUUAUUUUAAAUUGUUAUUUUGAUGGUUUCUGUAAGCGUUACCAAAAGACCGCACAACAAGUGAACGAUGCAGGCAGCUGCUGGCUGAGCUGCUGCCGUUUGGAUGUGACGGGGAGAAACAGCAAGAAGCAACACUCGUCCUCCCAUCAGUGGAAAUAGGCUUGGUACACGGAUUACUUAACGUUGAUUUACAAAUCUACAGCAGGAGCUGGGCUCGGGAAGCCUAGUGAUCACACUCACCCAUUCAUUCCUUUUCUCUCUCACACACACGAACACGCUCACCUCUUCCCCACCCCACCCCCCCUUUUUUUUCCCCCCUUUUGGAACAAGGCUGUUGCUUAUUGCCUUUUUGCAAAUGCCUGGGUGAGGUGCUGCGGUUGUGCAGAGUGCCCCCAGCUUCAGCUGCCUCUUUGGCUCGUUCUUGGCGCUCUUGUUGCACAGGGAAGGCAGGGAGAAAAAUAACUCGUCAACCUGUGGUGCCGACUGACCUACCCACCUGCAGGCGUGGGUCAGUUGGCGCAGCCCCCUGCUCAGGACUGCUGUCACCAGAUCCUUACGCUGGCAAGAACAGCACUGCUAUUUCUCUGCCUAUGAACAGUUAAGUGCUUCUUCUGCAUGACCAUAACCAAAGGGUGACCCAUCCACUCCCUUAUGUCCUAUGGGGACCUCAGAACCAAUUUCUCAGUCUUCAUCUCCUCCUCCUCCUCUUACCACUGCUGCUGACGCCCUGGGUGCUGCUCCCAGGUUUGAAACGUUGUUGACAGGCUGAAGAAAGGAUUUGCAAAGACCUCCUCACUGUGUAAAGAGAGUGAUGGCUGGAAUUAGUUUCAACUCCCCAAAUAAUGAUAUUAAACAAUAAUAAGAUUGCUAGGCCAAAGCAUUAUCAGGAACAAAUUAUGAGGAAAGAGACUAUUUGCAUUUGGUUGCAGUGAUGAACUAAAAUCAUUUAUGGAGAGCAGGUACCCUUUGUUUUGCAUGUGUUUGUCUUCAUGAAUGUAGUCGUGAAUCUGAUCAGAUCAGUGGUAGAUAUGGGAAAUAAAUGAAAAUAAAAGGGCUUAGUGGAUGAAAGA